GACGGGUGAGUAAUGCCUAGGGAACUGCCCAGUCGAGGGGGAUAACAGUUGGAAACGACUGCUAAUACCGCAUACGCCCUACGGGGGAAAAGAGGGGACCUUCGGGCCUUCUGCGAUUGGAUGUACCUAGGUGGGAUUAGCUAGUAGGUGAGGUAAUGGCUCACCUAGGCGACGAUCCCUAGCUGUUCUGAGAGGAUGAUCAGCCACACUGGGACUGAGACACGGCCCAGACUCCUACGGGAGGCAGCAGUGGGGAAUAUUGCACAAUGGGCGCAAGCCUGAUGCAGCCAUGCCGCGUGUGUGAAGAAGGCCUUCGGGUUGUAAAGCACUUUCAGCGAGGAGGAAAGGUUAAGUGUUAAUAGCACUUAGCUGUGACGUUACUCGCAGAAGAAGCACCGGCUAACUUCGUGCCAGCAGCCGCGGUAAUACGAGGGGUGCAAGCGUUAAUCGGAAUUACUGGGCGUAAAGCGU
rnacentral:rRNA from 1 species